UUUUAUGUGGGCGUUAAUGGUACUAGGAUUAGAGUAGCUCAGAAUCUACCCAGCAUAGUGCUUACGGCUUAAAAAUAAUGGUAUUCUCUCUGUAUCGGUCAUUGGGGAAAUAGCUAGUUAAAAAAAAAGAAGAAAAACUGCUGUUGUAACAAUUUCUUGGGUUAAUUAACACAGAAAGAAUAAUUUAUUUUUCUACAGCAAUCCUUCUUAAAGAAGUCAUUUUGCCCCUUUCUUUCUAUUGACUUACUUGUUUGUUUAUUCUCAAAAUGCCUUCACAGAAAUAGCCAAAAUAGGAUUUGAUAGACUAUUCUGGGCACUGUAUGCCUCAGUUAUGUCCACUCAGAAAAUGAAAUUAACUACUAUAGUUAGGAUACAGAACAUGUCUGGUUAUCAUGGCGUCAUGGUCUGUGUAUCAAAAGUUGAUAAAAACCUAAUGUCUGUGUUGUUCUGUCAGUGUGCUCUUCAACCGUCUACUGAAUACACUUGAGUGUAUUGCGACCCUGGCCUUGGAGAGAGAGGGCACUUUACGGUUUUGGUGAUGAUGAUAAUGAAGUCGUCCUGCGAAAUCUCACCAACUGGACUCCUCAAACAUGAGGUGAACAGGGAGGACACCAACAAACACGCCAAACUGAAUGGGGAAAAGCCCACGAUUGCCUCCACCCCACACAAACAAUUAUAGGCAAUGCAGCGAAGCUUGUUGACCCUUACUCGUUUCCUUCCUGAACAAAUCAACUUCUUUCUUCAUGCAAAAGUAGUUCUAAGAAAAUACAGGAAGUCUUCAGGAAGGUCGGAACGGGGUGAGGAGAAAAGGGAACGAGAAAAUGCUUAGCUCCAGAAGGAGCCUGUGCUGGCGAGCUGAAAGGUGGACGAGAUAGCUCUCGUCAUUCCUCUGGGGCUGCAUCAACCUGUAACACAGGCACCAUGGCUUCGUCUUUACUAAGACCUUAGAAAGCGAGGAGACAUCAUUAACAAACCCCAGGAAACUGAGCACCUCGGGUAUCCGGGGCUGGUACCCUGGGAAUCUGGCUUUUGUUUCUCUAUUUAGAAAAUGUCUGCAGGAACACAUCCCACACCCCUCUGGACAUGUAAUGGAUGCCAUAUAAACAACUCUGUCUUGAUAGAUAUAUUUAUACACAUCUACUUGCAUUUAUUAUCAGCCCUGUCAGCUAAUGAUGACAGAAGUUACGACUUCAAUUUUCUUUUGCUGUCUGUGGGGUGGUGGAGGGUAUAUGUGUAUGAUUUCCUGCAAUUGCUCUUUUAUGUGGUGGUCAGAGGCCAAAGCUGGUUGUUUUCCAUGGUUGCUGUCACCUUAUUUUGAGUCUGUCGACCUUGCUGAGUCCAGAGCUCACUGACCUAGCUUGACUGGAUAGCCACUGAAUGCCAGGCAUCCACAUGUGCUGCCUCCCCAGCGCUGGGAUUCCGGCCUGCCACAUGGUGGGUCCUGGGAGAUCUGAACUCUCAACUCCUCAAGCUUGCACAGUAGUACAUCCUUUAUAACUGAUCCACCUCUCUGGACCCUCAGUGGAUUGUCUCUAUUGAGGUUUUUGUUUGUUUGUUUGUUUUUAACCAAUAAAUAUUUCUCAUUCUCACUA